UCGUUGUUCCUUUGUUUUCUCCCCCUUUCAAAACCGCCGCCGCCACCAUCACAGAUGAUGCAGUCAGAUGUCCAUGAUCAUCAUCAACAACAAGAUAUUAGUAUGAUGAUAUCUCCUCUCAGGCAUGAGUCAGUUUUCAGAUGCUCUCUCCAUUCAAUUUUUCUUGAUCUCUUCUUCUCCUGUCUUUGAAUUCUGACUCUCCUUUUGUGUAUCCUCUUUAAUUUUACGUUUCUCUCUAUCAUCGUUCUGUUUGCGUCUUUCUCUGGUAAUUUCCGUUCUUUUAAAGUGAUCUAGUGACUCGUUUCUCCCGAUUCAAUUGAUUCGUUGACUCGUUUUUAGUGGUUCAGCCGUAACUUUUCCCUCAGUUCUCUGUUCAUUUGCAGGGUGUUUGGUAUCCAAAUGUAUUAUUGCGACUUCAUCUCAAAAACAAAGGAAGGAUCAUAGUGAGGUUAUCAAGAGUAGCCGAGUAGAGAGAAGGGCACAGGUGAAAGAUCCAAUGCAAUUUGUGAAGGACCUCCACAAAGGAGAGGAGCUUUAAGUUCUCCAUUUGACGGAGACAGCACAGCAAUCUGGUUGAUUAUUUUGGCUAUCGAGCUACUCCCCCAGCUGAGAAUGGACAUUCCCCCGCCUAGAGCGGUGAAAUAAUCCUUAACAAGACGCUUCUAACUUUCCCGUUUAGCUGAAUUCUAGCACUUAAUGGUGUUACGACAAAAUAUGGAUUCUCCUAGCCUCAUUAAGUUGAAGUACUGAUGAGCUCUCCUGUGUAGCUACUGAGUUGUCUCUCCAUCUCAUGAUGAACAAGGCUGGACAGAAGCAUGGCAAGGUCUCUUUUGUAAGCAUAAAAACAAUUGUUAAUUCUCCCUCAUGGUGGCCUAUACGAUAUCAUGGGAUGUAAACUUUAUGGUGUAUCUAUUCAAUGAAAUUGCAGUCCCAAGCACUGCAGAUGGAAUUACUCAUGAAGUCCUGCUUUAGAGUGAAAAAAAAAGUCCUGCUUUAGAGUGAAAGAGCGAGAAAUUACUCAUGUGAGCUUAGAAAUUAUAUUGUUUUCGAUGCUUCUACGGUCAUGCCAGAGUUUUCUUUGUUCUUUUUACGCUUAGAAAUUCAAAUCUCUCACUUUCAAAAUCUUUAGUCAUUAAAUGUCUUACAAAUGCUACCAGGGGCGGUUUCCUAACUGAACUCAUUUUGAUGCAAUUGACAAGCUUCUGGAAGUGGUUCUUCUCAACCACACGUUUUGAUGCAAUUUGAAACCACACGUUUCUGACCAGUUGGGAGCGCGUUUUUUGCCUGUUAAGAUCGCGUUCCUCGUACGAAUUUCAUUUGAGAACGCAAAAUCGCGAAUUUUGGGGAGAUUCUUGGUGACCUUUCACGUUUCUGGUGAACUUCAUACCCAUUUUCCUUUUUUGAUUCACAGUAUGUUUUGAGGGACACUCCGAAGAAUACGAGUGUCAAGGAGAAACCAAAUUAUAUCCUACUGCCAAGGGCAAGACAACCAGCAUCGUUCACACAGGUCAACUUCUGUAGCUGCUGCAACUGGCCUAGAAACAGUUGAAAACGAAAAUGGCUUCAGGAAGUGGUUCUCAACCACUGAUUGUAACUUCUCCACUGAAAACUUCGCCCGGCACAUCCAAUUUCAAACAGAACCAGCAACAUGAGGCAAGCAGGAAAAUAAUUAGAACCAUGCUGUCAUCUUCCUCUCACUGUUGCUGCCUGACUCUGUGCAAGGGAUAACAAUCACUCAACAUGUACCUGUUCAUGGAAUUACCAAUCCUGGGGAUGAUGCAGUGGACAUUGGGUUCAGUAACAAGCUUAGUAGCAAACCUCGAAGCGCGGAGGCAGCAGUUAACAAUUUUUGGGGUGUUAAUUCAUCAUCUGCCAAUGCUGAAAUUAUUUGCGAACCAGACUUUUAUUGGUGAAAUUUUUUUUAUUAGUGAAUUUAAGAAGAGAGCCCAGUUUCUGGAUCA